rnacentral:tRNA from 1 species
GGAGUGGUAGUUCAGCUGGUUAGAAUGCCUGUCCCGAUUACUCGGGAAGGUCUCUGGUUCGAAUCCCGUCCAUUCCG